CCUACGGGUGGCAGCAGUAGGGAGUUUUCGUCAAUGGGCGCAAGCCUGAACGAGCGAUGCCGCGUGAGUGAAGAAGGCCUUCGGGUCGUAAAGCUCUGUUGCGGGGGAAAAAAGGCAGCAUCAGGAAAUGGGUGCUGACUGAUGGUGCCCCGCCAGAAAGUCACGGCUAACUACGUGCCAGCAGCCGCGGUAAUACGUAGGUGGCGAGCGUUAAUCGGAAUUACUGGGCGUAAAGCGCUCGUAGGCGGUAUUUCAAGUCAAGGGUGAAAUCCCCGCGGUCAACAUGGGAACUGCCUUGUAAACUUGCAAACUAGAGUGUGUGAGAGGGUAGUGGAAUUCCAGGUGUAGGAGUGAAAGCCGUAGAUAUCUGGAGGAACAUCAGUGGCGAAGGCGACUAUCUGGCACAUUACUGACGCUGAGGAGCGAAAGCGUGGGUAGCAAACAGGAUUAGAUACCCCUGUAGUC
rnacentral:rRNA from 1 species